CAAGAAGUGUAACACUAUCAGUAUCACAUUUUGUGAUCUCAAGGUUUCUGUGGAGGUUUUUCCAGAUCAUUGGCUAAAGACUUUUGUAGUCCGUAACUUAAUGCACUAAAAAUGUACAUGUUUGUUUAGUGUAUGAGACAGGAGUUAGUGUAACUCUAGUUUACUUACAUUUUUACAUUUACAUUUAUUCAUUUAGCAGACGUUUUUAUCCAAAGCGACUUACAAAUGAGGAAUACAGCAACAGCAAUUUGUCCUAAGGCAAUAACAUGAGCUGCAAUACAAAGUUUCAAAUUGCUCAGAGAAGUACAAGUAGGGAAGAAGGUACAGUAAAGAAAAAUUCCCAAACCAAGAAUUCAUGGGAUGAAGAUGUGGAAAGACACACUGCACAAUGACCAUGAAAACCUCCCGAUAGAGGUGGUGGAAGGAGAAAAUGAGCAAAGGCCAACGCACAGUACUUUAAAAAAGGCCGUUUCAGACCGUUCUGGCGCCCUAGGCGAGAUCCCUAUUGGUGCCCCUGUUCUGGGUGGGUGAGGGGGUGUUUGGGGAGCAGUUCGCCUAUGCCUAGAAAUGGCCCUGGUUGUUAAUAAAUGUUCUUCAUG